CAUAAAACACAGUAAAAUGAAACAGAAGUCUAUAGUUGCAUAGGAAUCCAUGCAACCAGGGUUCACAACCCUUGCCAUAAGACACAUUUAUUUAUUACAUGGCACAGAGGCAUUUGAGAACGGGUUAUGUUUCAAAAGACAUUUUUCAACUAUCGAUAUAUAGGUACAUAGACACCUAACCUCAGGUUUCAUAACGUUGCCAUAUGACUUCAACCAUAUAGAAUAUAAUGCAUCACAUAAUGAAGUAUAUAGGCCUUCACGGUGUUAACCUCUAUAAUAUAAACAUUAAACAACAUAUGUUGGUUAGAUCUUUCGUAAGCACUUGAAUAUGAAGGAGUAAGUAGCUUGGGAAUGGAUGGGAAGACCAGGAAUAAAGUCAGGAAGAUGAAAUUAUACUUGGAAUAUAUUGUAACAAAGGUAUUUAAGGAGGGUGAGUUAUGGCUUGGUGUCGAAAGACUUAAGAAGAAUCACAAACUUCAAAGGAGACAAAGGAAUUGAAAUGGUAAGAACGACUUGUUAUGUAAAGAAUAGUGUGGUUUUGUUGUACAGAAUUUGGAAAUUGUUAUUAAAUGUAUGCGCUUUAAUUUGUUGCUAAAAUUAUCCUUUUGUUGUUUAAAUAAUAUGAUUCAUUUAUGUUGAUUAAAAAGAUGUGUUUUUUUUUGGUGAAUGUGGGGCAUGGGUUGUUAUGUAAAUACUAAAGCUGGCCAGAAAAUUCAUGUUUUUGACUCGAUGUGUUUUACAAUACAGAGAGGAGUGGUGGAGGAAGAGGAAGAAGGUGGUGCAGGAAAGUCAUGGUAGAAAUAAUGAUGCAGAUCAUUGCUUGUAUGCAGAGUUUUAGGAAGUGACAAUAAAUAAAAUAAUUAAUUAGACAAUU